rnacentral:rRNA from 1 species
GACGAACGCUGGCGGCGUGCCUAAUACAUGCAAGUAGAACGCUGAAGGAGGAGCUUGCUUCUCUGGAUGAGUUGCGAACGGGUGAGUAACGCGUAGGUAACCUGCCUGGUAGCGGGGGAUAACUAUUGGAAACGAUAGCUAAUACCGCAUAAGAGUAGAUGUUGCAUGACAUUUGCUUAAAAGGUGCAAUUGCAUCACUACCAGAUGGACCUGCGUUGUAUUAGCUAGUUGGUGGGGUAACGGCUCACCAAGGCGACGAUACAUAGCCGACCUGAGAGGGGGAUCGGCCACACUGGGACUGAGACACGGCCCAGACUCCUACGGGAGGCAGCAGUAGGGAAUCUUCGGCAAUGGACGGAAGGCUGACCGAGCAACGCCGCGGGAGUGAAGAAGGUUUUCGGAUCGUAAAGCUCUGUUGUAAGAGAAGAACGAGUGUGAGAGUGGAAAGUUCACACUGUGACGGUAGCUUACCAGAAAGGGACGGCUAACUACGUG